rnacentral:rRNA from 1 species
UGGGGAAUAUUGGACAAUGGGCGAAAGCCUGAUCCAGCCAUGCCGCGUGUGUGAAGAAGGUCUUCGGAUUGUAAAGCACUUUAAGUUGGGAGGAAGGGCAGUAAGUUAAUACCUUGCUGUUUUGACGUUACCAACAGAAUAAGCACCGGCUAACUUCGUGCCAGCAGCCGCGGUAAUACGAAGGGUGCAAGCGUUAAUCGGAAUUACUGGGCGUAAAGCGCGCGUAGGUGGUUCAGCAAGUUGGAUGUGAAAUCCCCGGGCUCAACCUGGGAACUGCAUCCAAAACUACUGAGCUAGAGUACGGUAGAGGGUGGUGGAAUUUCCUGUGUAGCGGUGAAAUGCGUAGAUAUAGGAAGGAACACCAGUGGCGAAGGCGACCACCUGGACUGAUACUGACACCGAGGUGCGAAAGCGUGGGGAGCAAACAGGAUUAGAUACCCUGGUAGUCCACGCCGUAAACGAUGUCGACUAGCCGUUGGGAUCCUUGAGAUCUUAGUGGCGCAGCUAACGCGAUAAGUCGACCGCCUGGGGAGUACGGCCGCAAGGUUA